GGCAGCAAAUAGAAAGGUGCUCUGAGGAGUUGAACAAAAUUGGAAGUUUUUAUAGACAGAAAAGGGGGGUGUGCAAUGGAGCUUUUGCAAUAUAAAAGAAAGAAUUGUUUCAGGCCAGGUCAUCUUUUAUUUGAGGGGGAAAAGAGUGGCAGGGGUCUCAUGAAAAUUAUCUUACGAGUGCUAAUCAGGUUAUUUUGAUUAACUGCUUGAAGUUUACAUUCCUAAAAGAGGAUCUGGCAAUUAGGUCUUGUUUUGCUGUCAUGGGGGCAAAUGACUCCAUUUUGGGCAUGUUCUUUCUUUUUUAACAAUCCCGCCCUUUUGAUCAAAUUCAGCCUGAGACAUGUG